AUGAUCAAAGCAUUUUGGUGGGGAAGCAGGAAAGAUCAUCGCAAACCAUACUGGGUUUCUUGGGACACAAUGAGUAGACUGAAAUAUAUGGUAGGCCUGGGUUUCUGGGACUUUGAAAUUUCCAAUGUAGCUCUCUUGGCUAGACAAGCAUGGAGAAUAUUACAAAACCCAGAUUCGUUGAGUGCGAGGAUAUUAAAAGCGGUGUAUUACCCCAACACUGACUUUUCUCUCUGCUGAACUUGGUAGCCAUGUUUCUCAAAUUUAGCGAUCGGUGUUGGAGGUAUUGACACUUUGAAAAUGGGCCUAAUUAGGCAGAUCAGAAUGGGCUCUAGUGUGCAGAUAUUGAACAUGAAUUGGAUCCCAAGAAGAGAGAAUACAAGGCCCAUCAUAUCUUUAAUUCUCAGCUGCCACAUUUGGUGUCGGAACUAUUGGAUCAAGGAAAAAUGCAAGAUGGAAUUCACAGUUAAUUGA
rnacentral:rRNA from 1 species